rnacentral:lncRNA from 1 species
AGGAAACGGAGCCCAGGGCCCCCAGCCCUCAGUCAAAGCCCCUCUCCAAGGCUGUGGAAAAACUUCUGGCAUCUCGGAGGGAGGGCAGUGUGUGCCCAAACUCUGUGUAUAACGCACGGGAAGCCUGGCCGGCCAGGCCGCAAAAAGGCGGCUGUGGGAAGUACGGCAAGACACCAUGGUGGCAGGGUUUCUGGAGAGGGUUCUCCCUCCCAACAAGGGCUGUGCCUUGAAGGUGGUGCCCUGCAGAGAGCAGCAUCUCUGGAAAGACAAUCAAAGGUCCCCUGGCCAGUGGUCCGACUUGUCCAGCAGAUGCUUCACCCAGGCAGCUGCUGUGAGAAAACAUCACGUCCUCAACUGAGGCCUGCCUGCCACGUCCCACCUGGUGAUACGCUUCAGAGACCAAAAACAGAAUACCAUCAACCCCCGGGCUAGCCGCAGGGGGAGGCCUAGCUGAAGCCAUGCAAAGAAACCAAGAG